GUGAGGAAUAUUGCGCAAUGGAGGCAACUCUGACGCAGCCAUGCCGCGUGCAGGAAGAAGGCGCUACGCGUUGUAAACUGCUUUUAACCGGGAAGAAACCCCAGGACGUGUCCUGGGUUGACGGUACCGGAGGAAUAAGCACCGGCUAACUUCGUGCCAGCAGCCGCGGUAAUACGAAGGGUGCAAGCGUUAUCCGGAUGCAUUGGGUUUAAAGGGUGCGUAGGCGGAGCGUUAAGUCAGUGGUGAAAUCCUGCAGCUUAACUGUAGACUUGCCAUUGAUACUGGCGCUCUUGAGUGCGCUUGAAGUGGGCGGAAUGUGCCGUGUAGCGGUGAAAUGCUUAGAUAUGGCACAGAACACCAAUUGCGAAGGCAGCUCACUAAGGCGAUACUGACGCUGAGGCACGAAAGCGUGGGGAUCGAACAGGAUUAGAAACCCUGGUAGUCC
rnacentral:rRNA from 1 species